GGGUUCUUAGCUCAGUGGCUUAGAGCGGAUGACUGCAGUGAUGUCUUCAUCAGGUCGCUGGUUCAAUUCCGGCAGAGCCCU